UAACACAGCAUUGUACCCAGAGUCUGCCCCAGACAUUGCACCUGACACUGUUAGGCUGGAAAUUAAAAAAAAA
rfam:Pteropus alecto contig167558, whole genome shotgun sequence.